rnacentral:lncRNA from 1 species
GUUUAUUGAAAGCCAGCGGAAUACUCCAUUUCACCCGCUUCAGUGGGAAACGUUUCGCAGAAAAACACAAGAAGGGGUCUUCAUUCCUGGACGCCCCGUGAUGUGUCCCCUCCGGCUCUCCGGAAGCUUCUACAGCCAGGGCUUUGGCGACCUGCCCACGGAGCCCCAGGACCCGAGCCCCGCGGAAUUCUCGGGGGUCCGCGCGGCCGCCGGCGGUCAGCGGCUUUCAACGCUGGGCUCGGGCUCAGGCCUCUCCUUUUCCACGGGGGUUCACCGCAUCGUCUGCCCCGAGUCCCGGGCCGGCUUCCCCGCUGGCCCCGCCUGAGGACGGUCGCCGUGACGCACUGUCUUCACCUGCUGAUUCGUCCCUUCUGGAGGCUCAUGGCCUCCCCCGGCCUGAGGCUGACGUCUGGGCUCAGGACGGUGUCCCACGGCUCCAGAGGGGAUUCCGCGCGUUGACCAACAGUCUGGACAUUCAUACUCACCUGCCCGAGUUUCUGGUGCGUCUGCAGGAAACGAGAGACUCUGUGUCUUUGCCUCGUGAGCUCCGUCUGCAGCCCUGGGGCUCUGAGAACAUGACAGGCGCCCCCGUGAGUCGCCGGCACCCGUGGUCGCUGGGGCCCCGGCCGCUGAGCCGUGGGGAUGCACAUCCACGGAUGGGGAGGGAGGCCCAGGCAGCAGGGAGUGGGCAGGGGGGCGGCGGGUGAGCGCCUGCGUCAGGCCGGUGCAGCCCGGGGAGCGCUGGCCACGGGGACUCAGACGCCCCCGGCGUGUGCUUCAUGCAGGUUCUGGCUCCGUCUCGUCCCGACUGUGUGGCCCUGGGCAGGUCACUCGACCUGAGCUCUGGGGCACUGCACACGGUCAAGCGAGGCCCCGGGCCCAGGGACGGGAUGGGACGGGGGUGACGGGGACAUCUGCAGGCCCCUCCUCCGGGCAGAAGCUUUUCUGUUUUCCAGUUUCCAACCCAGGGCUGUGGAGCGUGUGCAGGGUGUGCUGAGCGCGAUCCCCGGGCGCCCCCAGGCCUCCUGGGUCACGUGCCUUCCACCGAGCUCGGGCUGGGCCGCGGCUGCAGGGGCGCCCUCUGCUCCCCAGGGGUGGGGUCUCCGAGCUGGGCCGCCUGUGAGGUCAUCGUGGGGCGCGGGGGGCCCUUUCUUGCACCUUCUCGCUCAGACUUCUGGGUAAGUUCUGGGGAAGGAGCAGGUUUUCCGGGUGGUGCUUCUUUUUCGGGGUGUGUGGGUGAGGGGAGGCUCGGCCUGCCCGAGGUGACCCUCAGGCCUGUUGUCCGUGAGUCCUGGGGUUGGGGAGGGGACACCUGGGGACAGCUGGGAGCAGGGCGGGAGCACAGGCCCUGGCUUCCGUGCAGGGUGUGUGGCAGGCAGACCUGUGGGUCCUUGUCACGGCCCCGAGGCCCCGAGGUGCACGUGGUGACAGACCGUCCUCACUCGACUGCUCAACUCCCGGGACCUGGCUCCUGGGCUCGGAGCUUCCCUCCAAACCGUCCGGUUUCAGCGAGCGUCCUGCUGGCCCGCGAGGCAGGAGCCCGGGGCCUGGCAGCUGACCGGCCACCCCGAUGCCUCCUGCGGGGAUCCCAGGGGCCCCUGCUCCUGGCUCUUGCUCCCGCCGUGUCUGAGAGCAGCGCAGGGCGGAGGCCGCGGCAGUGCAGGCUCCUCCGUGUCAGGCGGCUGUGGGGCAGGUGUGGGCCCCGCGCUGAGCGCAGCGUGGACGUGGGCGCGGCCCUCGGGGAGGACCUUUCUCCAGCAGUGAGACCCGAGCCAGCCCCUGACUGAACACAGGAGGGAGCCGGGAAGAUGGUGGCAGCGCACCCAGCGCAGGACCUCGCCCACGACAGGCCCGACCCCUGCAACGAGACCCAGGCCCCAGCAGCGGAGACCCCGGCCGCUGCAGUGGAGACCCCGGCCCCUGCGGAGACCCAGCACAUCUGAGGCCCAGGAGACAGACGGUCUCACGCUUGUCCUGGUUCGCCUCCCACUGGGGACCACUCUGCCCUCGGCCAGCACAUGUGCUCAGGGUGGCCCUGGGCACCUCCCGCCUCCGGCCCACCAUGAGCCUCACCUCGUCCGUCCUUGGUCCCUGGUGCCGAGGAGCAAGGGCAGCCGAGCAGCAGCCGAGCAGGGCCUGGGUGUGCCCCCCCCCCCCCCGUCUUUCCCUUGUUUCUUGCCCACGGCUACGGAUGAGUUUCUAGGGUUUACGGAGGGAUGAGGACACACCCUGAGCUGUACUCGCUGGAACCGCGGGGAUCCGCGGGGGGAGCAGCAGGGCAGUGGGCAGGGCCACCCCGUGUGCCCGCGCGGGGGCAGUGAGGACACACCUCAGGGCCCAGCCCUCAGAUGAGGGCUCCCUGGGAAGGAAGGCAGUAAAGGCCGGAGAAGUUGUACUUUGCUGUUUCACGUUGAUCGCGGGCGCAGGUUGCAGAAGUGGAGACGUUAACCUGGAUGAAACAGAAACCCUUGCAGGUGAAUUUCCGAGCCAGCCCUGCAGCGGGGGUGACCCUCGGCUGCCGUGAUGUCCCCGAGUGGCCCCGUAGCAGAGCCUGUGUCACGGGUGACCCCGGGCCAGCUGCAGGGGGGGGGUCAGGCCCCCAGUAGCCCCGGGCCAGGCUGCGGCCCCGCCCAUGAGGGGGGCUGCGGGGCUGAGGCAUCCUCCUGGUGGGGUGCCGUCCGGCUGGCUUCUGAACCGGCUGUCGGUGGUGGGUCCCGUGUUCGCGAGCUCCUCACCACGUUCCCCCAAAACCAGCGUCCCUGCGUGCGGUGUGGCCCAGCGACACGUGCUGCGGCAACGCCAGCCCCCGGGGGCAGAGCCAGGUCCGGGGGGACCUCAGGUCCCGGGGGGCUCACACCUGGCCUGGACACUCAGCCUGAGGUGGCGUCUGCCGUGGGACGUGAUGCGGGGACGUGUUUGGUAUGGGGGUGACCUGCGGUGCCCACUGCGAUGUCUGUGUCCUCGAGCCCCACUGUCCCCGGCGCCGCAUUCCCUGGGCCUCCCGCACACAGGGCCCUGUGGGUUUUCUCCGUCUGUUCUCUGCUCCUGACCACCGACCUCGCAGCCCAGGGCGGGGGCUGCACAACCUGGGGGGGUCGUGUGGGCGCAGCCACCCGCAGGUACCAUCUGCGGGGGCUCAGCCCUCACGGCCGGUCUGCUCACUCUCCACUGGACUGGGGCUGGGGCUCCAUGGAGGGGGGUGCA